CAGGAAGUACGAUCACAAGAAACCAAAACUCCUAAAACAUUCAAUUCAUGUAGAUUCGACAAAUAGGAAGGCACAGCAUGACAAUAACUAUUUUGUUUGACAUCAAAAGAAAAGGAAGAGUCAAGUAUGGAGAUCAAACGGGGCUGAGGAGCUGAUAGACUUGGGGCUUGGGAUCAGAAUUCAUGCCGAUAAUGAUGAUAAGAGGAAUAAAUCCAUAGUGAGUGACCACUUUAGCCUUUUUCAUGGUCCAAGUGCUCCACUCUUUG
rnacentral:lncRNA from 1 species